rnacentral:rRNA from 1 species
AGAGUUUGAUCCUGGCUCAGGACGAACGCUGGCGGCGUGCCUAAUACAUGCAAGUCGAGCGGACUUUAAAAGCUUGCUUUUAAAGUUAGCGGCGGACGGGUGAGUAACACGUGGGCAACCUGCCUGUAAGACUGGGAUAACUUCGGGAAACCGGAGCUAAUACCGGAUAAUCCUUUUCCUCUCAUGAGGAAAAGCUGAAAGACGGUUUACGCUGUCACUUACAGAUGGGCCCGCGGCGCAUUAGCUAGUUGGUGAGGUAACGGCUCACCAAGGCGACGAUGCGUAGCCGACCUGAGAGGGUGAUCGGCCACACUGGGACUGAGACACGGCCCAGACUCCUACGGGAGGCAGCAGUAGGGAAUCUUCCGCAAUGGACGAAAGUCUGACGGAGCAACGCCGCGUGAGUGAUGAAGGUUUUCGGAUCGUAAAACUCUGUUGUUAGGGAAGAACAAGUACAAGAGUAACUGCUUGUA